rnacentral:rRNA from 1 species
AUUCGAUGCAACGCGAAGAACCUUACCUACUCUUGACAUCCAGAGAAUUCGCUAGAGAUAGCUUAGUGCCUUCGGGAACUCUGAGACAGGUGCUGCAUGGCUGUCGUCAGCUCGUGUUGUGAAAUGUUGGGUUAAGUCCCGCAACGAGCGCAACCCUUAUCCUUUGUUGCCAGCACGUAAUGGUGGGAACUCAAAGGAGACUGCCGGUGAUAAACCGGAGGAAGGUGGGGAUGACGUCAAGUCAUCAUGGCCCUUACGAGUAGGGCUACACACGUGCUACAAUGGCAUAUACAAAGAGAAGCGAACUCGCGAGAGCAAGCGGACCUCAUAAAGUAUGUCGUAGUCCGGAUUGGAGUCUGCAACUCGACUCCAUGAAGUCGGAAUCGCUAGUAAUCGUAGAUCAGAAUGCUACGGUGAAUACGUUCCCGGGCCUUGUACACACCGCCCGUAAA